AUCGCUUCUCGGCCUUUUGGCUAAGAUCAGGUGUAGUGUCUGUUCUUAUCAGAAAAGACGACUCAUCAGCCCACCUUCA
ensembl:snRNA U2 U2 spliceosomal RNA